CUCAAGGAAUCAGGCACCCAUUCUUUCUCCCUCUCUCACGUCGACAACCCAGACAAAACCAGCAAGAGCACCUUCCCUUCACGACAUCCCUCUUUCAACCUUCAAACCCAUAUUUCUCUAAAUUUCUUUGAAGAAAACGUCAAUGGCUGCGAGGGCAUGACCCGUUCUUCUUCCCUCUGAUCUUCGAAGGACCUACUUUCGAAAUCAAGUAUAGAAUCAUCCGAAAAUUUCACUUCCUUGACCUUGAAUUUUGCUUAUUUGGGGAAGGAAUCAGUGAGUUUUGGUCCUGUUGAUUAAACAUCAAAUUCAAGCCAAAAACAAGCAUUGAAUCUGUUCUUUCUCGUUUCUUGUUAUUGCUAACAGAAGCUUGUCUACAGAUCGAAACUAGUGGGAAAUAAUGGAUUAGCGAGGUGAUUAGAGAUUUCAAGGAUGUAAAUUGAGCUGAGCUCUUAGGAAUUUAUAGUUUUGUAUUAGGAAUUUUGGAUAAAUGUAAAUUUUGUUGGCUGUGUUGGUUAAAUCGGACUUGUAGAAAAUUGUAUGAUUAUCCUUUGCUUUAGUUAGUUGUUUGUUUUGAAAUAUAGCUGAGUUAGUUACGUUAAUAAGCUGGUGAUCCCUUUACUCAAGUUUUGGAAGUGUGAUUUCAACUUCUUGGGAAGUGAACCCCGUGAUGACCCUGUUUACUCAGUCGACAGUAAGUCGGGUUGUUACAAAAGUGGUGUCUUUGCAAAUUAUUUUUUGUUGGUCGAUCUAACAGCGAAUAAUAUAUGGGUCAAUCAACAAGUCUUGUAUGGGAUCGUCUCAUCAAGAAAUAAUCUUUCUCAAUUGAUUACUUUAAAAUUGUAAGUGAUCACUUACUUUAAAACUAUAAGUACACAGUGAAUCAAUCUAAAAGAAAUAAUCUUACCGUGAGAUCAUAUCAUUUAAGAAUUUGUGAACAAAUUAUUACUCUUUAUUUUUACACACUAAUUAUGACUCUUUAUUAUUCUUCUAAAUAGUUUCGUUUCCUCACCAAACCCUUAUCUAAAAUCUUAACUGGUCUAUAAUAUUUCACCAUCUCUAUAAAUCUGUCACAUCUUUGAAAGCUAGCAUAAGAGGAUAAUGUAUUAAUUUUCACUAAAAUGAAGAAAUGUAGUAUAAACCUAAGUAAAAGCAUUUGGUUAAGAUGAAUUGAAUAUAGUUAAACCACUUAUUUAAUCAAUAAAUAGAGAAAUGUAAGAAUAAAACAGUGUGCUAAAUUGAUUAAAUACAAUAAUGAAUCGAGGAUGGAGUAGAGUUAAAUAAGAA